GCCUGGGUGGCUCAGUCGGUUAAGCACCCGACUUUGUCUCAGGUCAUGGUCUUGUAGUUUGUGGGUUCGAGCCCCACAUCAGGCU
rnacentral:tRNA from 1 species